rnacentral:rRNA from 1 species
AUCAUGGCUCAGAUUGAACGCUGGCGGCAUGCUUUACACAUGCAAGUCGAACGGGGUGAGGAGCUUGCUCCUCAUCUAGUGGCGAACGGGUGAGUAAUACAUCGGAACGUACCGUGUAGUGGGGGAUAACGUAGCGAAAGUUACGCUAAUACCGCAUACGAUCCACGGAUGAAAGCAGGGGACCUUCGGGCCUUGUGCUAUACGAGCGGCCGAUGUCUGAUCAGCUAGUUGGUGGGGUAAAGGCCCACCAAGGCAACGAUCAGUAGCGGGUCUGAGAGGAUGAUCCGCCACACUGGGACUGAGACACGGCCCAGACUCCUAUGGGAGGCAGCAGUGGGGAAUUUUGGACAAUGGGCGCAAGCCUGAUCCAGCCAUGCCGCGUGUCUGAAGAAGGCCUUCGGGUUGUAAAGGACUUUUGUCAGGGAGCAAAACCCAGCAGCUAAUAUCUGUUGGGGAUGAGAGUACCUGAAGAAUAAGCACCGGCUAACUACGUG